rnacentral:rRNA from 1 species
GAUGAACGCUGGCGGCGUGCCUAAUACAUGCAAGUCGAGCGAACAGACGAGGAGCUUGCUUCUCUGACGUUAGCGGCGGACGGGUGAGUAACACGUGGAUAACCUACCUAUCAGACUGGGAUAACUUCGGGAAACCGGAGCUAAUACCGGAUAAUAUAUUGAACCGCAUGGUUCAAUAGUGAAAGACGGUUUUGCUGUCACUUAUAGAUGGCUCCGCGCCGCAUUAGCUAGUUGGUAAGGUAACGGCUUACCAAGGCAACGAUGCGUAGCCGACCUGAGAGGGGGAUCGGCCACACUGGAACUGAGACACGGUCCAGGCUCCUACGGGAGGCAGCAGUAGGGAAUCUUCCGCAAUGGGCGAAAGCCUGACGGAGCAACGCCGCGUGAGUUAUGAAGGUCUUCGGAUCGUAAAACUCUGUUAUGAGGGAAAAACAAAUGUGUAAGUAACUAUGCACGUCUUGACGGUACCUAAUCAGAAAGCCACGGCUAACUACGUG